CGGAUCUUGUGUGUCGUGAAAAGUUAGACAACAGAAGCAGAGGGCUUAAAGCAGCACAUGCCUUUCUUGAGCCGUUUUCCAUCAUCUAAUGAAACAACCUGGUUCUAGAAGGAGGGAGAAGAUGGGAAGAGGCGAGUUUUAUGUACAAGAAACUGACAGGAGAAAAUUGCAAGUGAGAAAGAACGCUUCCAUCUAGAAGGAGAACCAUAGUCUGGAAACUUAAGACAGUAAGCUAGAACUGAAAUUAAAGUGCCUUUUUAACCAUAACUGUUAAAACCAGAGAUAUACCGACUAUGUUUCAUGGUCUCUUAAAACCAAGAGGAAGACAUACUUCAGCCAAAACAGGAGGGUCUUUUCUGUUUAAUAUAAGAAAAACUGUAAAGACAUAUAAACAGACAUAUAAGCAGGCAAAUCAUAUUCUAUGAUCUACACACAUGAGUAUAGAUCUACACAAAUUUACCAGAGCCAAUGUUUCCUUCUCUGCCUCUGGUAUGAGGAAUGAAAAAAGAUCACUUACUCUUGUAUCUAUCUAUGUAAGAGUUCAAACAAAACUCUGAGAGCUUGUUUUACAUUUGGAAUCCAGACUGUAUUUGUUUCUUAACACAUCCUGAGUUUCUUAUCAAGACAACUGCUUACCAACCACUGUCUUCUAGGGAGGUGGAUUAUCAUUGUUUAAUCUUACCUUAAGGAAUGUUAUGAAAGAAAAAGUUAAUCAGAUAUUUAGAACGUGUAACUAAGUCUGCAGUACAGCUUGCCUUGCAGCACUGCAGCUUGCUAGAGAGAACAGUCCUUAUUUGUUAGCUACAAACCUGAAGUAAAACACAGGGAAGACGUGCAACUACUUUUAGCUUAGGAAAUACUAUCAGACUAACCAUGAGAAUACUACCAUCACAUAUGCUUUGAACAUGAUGGCAUUACAGCGUGCCUCAAUGUUGAUUUUAGAAUAAUUAGAACCACAAUAGAACUUCGGCUAUUUUCUACUUUUAUCAAUAACAAUAAUUAAUAACCGUUAGCAUCCCCCCUCCUCUUCCAUUCUGUAGUAUAUUUUUAUCUCCUAGAAACUUGCUGAGCCGGUUGCAUUAGCAGAAACGGUACAUCUAUUCAAAACAAUGUGACUAAAAGCAGAAUCUGUUUGCUUUUACAUGAUUGGAACAAAAGGUUUCAUUGCUGCUAUUACAGCUCGAUAGCAUUUCAUAAUGAAUUCUGAAAUUUUGGGGAAGUCAGAUUGCAGUAUUGGUUUGACAUCAGACAUUUUAUUGUUCAGAUGUAGGAUCACGACCAUGUCCAUCCAGUCUGUGAAAACUUUAGUUUUUCUUUAGAUAUUAAGAAGAGCGUUGAAGCAAUCCCCAAAAAGCUUGGGCCUCAGGAAAGAAAUCUAAAAGACAAACAAUGUUAAAGCUUGGUCAGACACGAUUACAUGGCUGACAAUUACAUAUGAUAACAAUUAAAAUUAUCUGAUUCCAGCCAUAUGGCAUCUUAAUACCGCAGAUCUCCAAGCAAAUAAUGUGUCACAGAAUAGGUUUUGAUUGAUGUUGUCAGCAGCCUUUUGAACGUUACAAAUACCUUAGCUUCAAUGUCCCAGAAACCAGUGGAGACUACUGACCUCAUCCCAAACUGGAAGUAUUUGCAUGUACCUCCCUGGUUUAAAGUGUUCUCUAACCUAAAGUCCUUGGUUUACUAGAUGGUUCGAUACAUGCAUACAUGGCAUCCAGCUACUUACUUCCAGUUACAAAUAGCUCAGCUAAUGCAUGCAUUAGUGGUUUUAGCAAGAGCCCUAGAUGUUUUCUGUGAGGCCUUUAAGUUACCUGCCAGUACAGCUCAGAGAAGAUAAGUCUGAUUACAAGCCAGCUGAAGCACUCCAAACAAUUGCUGAAGUCCCUGUGUUGGCUGGCAAAGAGAACCUAACCAGAGAGUAUGAGGAGCUGCCAAGGAGCUGCCACUGAGCAGCAUGAGCCUACUCUACUGCCAACUUUAAUUUGCAUUAAAAAAAUAGGGAUGAGUUAAUGAUUGCUAAACCAACAAAUCAUCCUCCUAUUGGAGGAGCCCCAGAGGACAUUCUGUCUCCAGUGGUGAUAUAACCAGUAAGCAAACACAUUGUCACAUUGCUUAGAAUGGGCGUACAAAAAAACAGAGGGGAUCUGACCAGGAAUUUGGAGCAUUUUCGUGGUGCCAGUCCCCACACAUGUUCUUGGCUUAGCCUUCUGCUCCUCAUUUUCCUCCUGACCAACAUGAGGGCACAGCCCAAAAACUACUCUUCAGAUCUGUGAUGCAAGUUUUAUUGUUUCCUUCUGUAUGCUGCUAAAUAGGAAGAGAAACAUAAUGUCUUAAAAACGAAUUGAGGAAUAAUACCAUACAUUUGUUAGAAGGGUAGUUUUGCUACCAUUGUUGUUUUAAAAAAACAUCUUUUUCUGUUUUGGCAUCAAAGUUAUGGUUGCAACAUCUUAGCUGGAAAAACAGCUGUCUUCUAAUCAUGGCUGCAGUGCACACAGUUGUCCCACUGUAGCCUGUAGAGGCCUAGAGUGCAUGAGAGCAUGCUGAGAAUGGAGGUUUAGUUAAGAUAUUGCAACAACUUUUUAGUGUUGUUGACAGACAGCAAAAAUCUUGUGUUGUUCACUGCAGUUUCAUUGUUCUAACAGCACGUUUUCCAGACACAAAGCAAGAUCCCGACUAUGUUUUAAAUGUAUGGGAGUUUAUAUCAAAUGCAUUGAAUUUUUUUCCCAUUCUUUAUUGCAGAACAACUGAAGAUCAAGAAUUGCAAGAGAUCACACUAAAAUUCAAGAGGCAAACGAAGAGAUAAUCCUCAAGGGCUGACACAGCAGAUACUCAUGGCACCUCAGUCAUAACUGUAUUUCUGCUCUGAGUUCACAGCUCUGCAGUGCACAUCGCAGUUUUAUCAGAAUGGCCUUUCCAGUAAGAAGUGGUAAUUUGAUUGCAUGAUGGGUCAUCUGAAGAAAAUAUAUCGGUUUUCGAAUACUAAUGAGAGGAAAUAUCUAGUAUGUCCAUAUUUAAUUGAAAUCAUAUGUUGCUCUUCUGCAAGAAAAGCUAUGUUCAUUGUAUUUAUGCAUGAAAACUGGCUAGCAUCAUGGAAGAACAGAUUUUCCAGGAGAGCAGUGAAGCAUCAGCCCAUUGCAGCAUACCACACACAAAGGACAGAAACUCAGCAUCAAUUUAGAUCUAAACUUUCAGCACCAAUAAGACAACAACAUCCCUUCUUCUGAAUCGUGGAUAAUUCUGUCCAAAAAAGCCACUGACCUUGACCAAGUCAGUUGAAACUUUACUGAGAUAAAAUCUCAACUUUGUGCAAUACAGUAGACAAUGUCCAAGUCAUCCAUGGGUCAUCAGUAGAGUGAUCAAUGCAGCAUGUAAUCUAGUCAAAUCUACAUAAACAGAGAUGUAGCCAGACAUCUGCAGAGGUGUAGCCAUCACCAUACUCUCCAAAUAACUGAGUAAACAGUAUGACAGAGCUAGUUCAGUUGAUACACAGCUUCCAUCUCUGAAGUCCAACACUGUAGAUACAGAGGCUACUUUACAAGUAAAAUGCAUCUUUUCAAUGGAAAUUGUUUGUAUUGCUGACCUCUUUGAGACAAGAAAUGAAAUUUCACCAGUCAUAAAGGAAUGGGCCUCGAGGAGAGCACUGUGUCAGCACAGCCUGGAUCUGCAGGCUUCCUGCUGCCAUCCUGCUGCUUCCUGCUGCUGUUCAUGGCCCUUGGCUUGCUGCUGUGCAAGUUCUCCUCAGCUAUUUGAAGUUUUUUUUUUUUUAGAGAGCAUGGGAAAGAAGGAGAAUAGUGUAGGUUUCACACACCGGUCCUGAUCAGAUGGGUGCAAAGGAAAUACUCCUGUUCCACACAAUGCAGCAGAGACCCAUCUUUCCUCGUGCUGUUGAAGCAUAAACAGAGGUGAUUAGAGUGGGAGCAGGGCUUCUCACUUUCUUAUUCAGAUUCUAAUACAGACAGAUUUUGAUCUUUAGGGGGUGAAAUAAUGAAGAAGAUAACAACAGUAAUUAUGGGUGCAGACAGCAAUGCUGAACCAUGAACAUCUCCAUUUUAACACAUAAAUAUUCAGUCGGCUAUCAGAGAAGAAGAGCACAGGUCACAGACCCUUUAGCUUCAUCCCCCUCCUCCACAGCCAAAAGAACACACAAGAAAUAUAUUUAUUAACUGAUAAAUACUGUCUUUUCAAAUUGACAUCAUAGGAAUUUGGAGUGUCAGGCUGCUCAUUUGUAUCUGAGAAUUUAUAUAAUAUUGGAAACAAAGAGAAUAUUUGAGCUAUGAAAGAAUCUACAAAACCAGCCAGAACAGCAGAGACUGUAUUUUAAAACAGGACAAUAGAGAUUGUGACACAUCUCAAUACCCUGCAAUGCUUUGAAAAGUGUAGCUUGUACCUACAAAACAAUUUAUUAAUGAUUUGAUUCUAUGUAUGACUUUUUAAGAAUAAAUUAGAAAUACCCAACCACUAUAGGUUGAGUGGCCUCUUGGCCAACCUCCAAAAGCCAGACCAACUAAUCCAGUCAAUAUCCAUACUUUGCUGCCAUGUCCUUCACUGAUGUCCUCAGUCACAGGAAGGUGAUGAAUUGCAAACUGACGAACUGGUGAAAGGUGGGCAGAAGGUUGGCCUUAGUAUUGCUUUUACUCAGGAUUCUAUGGCCUCUACACCACUGUUAGAUAGGAAUCGCAUCCAUUCUGAUUCAGGCUUGCCUGUUCACACAAUUGGAACAAUCCCGUGCUAAAAGUAUGAGUGAAUCUCAGCCUUGAGACAGGCACUGCUUAACCUCCUCAUCUAUUCCCCAGAUGAGCAUCUUUAGAAGGAAGCACUUGCAUUUUGCAUUUCUAAUGGAUCAUGUCAGAGGUGAUAUCAUGUGAAUUCCUCCAUAAAAGAAGACGUAAUCCCAACAAAAAGCCUACAAGCGACAGAAGGUAUUUGGAGUAGAUAUUUAUGGAGUAAACACAGUUAUUAUUUGUUGACAAAUCUAAUGCACCAGAACUUGGCUUUGGAGAUAUGAAAUGAGACUCUAGUAUUUUCUUGAGUAUGAGUAGUGUCAUCCAUCAUUCAUUCUUGAUAGUGAAAACAUAUCUGUGUUUCAGAUGUAUGCAGGAAAGGAGCAGCCUUGCUUGGGGAAGUCAAAAACAUGUCCAGGGUAUUUAAUAUAUUAAAAGGUCAUCUGCAGUGAAAUUUGCUGUACACGCUCUAAGAGAAAGCAGAGAAUGUUCAGGGAAAUAAUACAGGGUAGUCAAAGAUUACCACUGGGGCUGCAUGGAAGAAGCCAAAAAUCUGUUAUUUUCUGAUCAAAAUGAAUCAGUUGAACGCCAAACUCACGGAAAGUGAGGAGCCAGUUCUUCCAAGAGAGGUUGAAAGCAGGGAGGUGGGGCUGCUUGUAUAGUCUUGCUUGGUAUAACUUGAUUUUUCACAAAAAAGUGGGGGAAUAACAAUAUCCCAAAACUCUUCCAGACAGUUAUUAUUUUUUCUCACUUGGAUUACAACACACACAAACAUAAGCAAGCCUUUUGGUUAUGCAGGUCUACAGUUCUGCCUAGUCUACUCGUUUGGAGCUGGGAUGGAGCCGUCCCACUCUGCAUCUUGAAAAACUCUCCCCUUGAAAACGUACUUGGGUUGAUGCCUUCAAGCGAUAUUUGAAACCUGCCUGUGCUGUUUUGCUUUUUUUCUCCUCACUCUUGUUGUCAGACUCAUCAUGCUGAGUCAUAUCUGCAGCUAGAGCAUAAUGAUUAUCCUGAAAUGUCAGCAGCUGCUCUUUUCACCCCCAUAUGGUGCCAGAUUUAGGAUGAGGUUUCCCUAAUGCAUAAACAAUGAUGAUAAUUGCAGUUUUCAACAAUCAAGGUAUCACAGAGUUGUUAUUCUAUUGUAAAAAAAAAAAUAAUAAUGCAUUUCCACAGCUGUAAAGAAGGGAUGGGUCACACUGACCCAUAUGCUUUUUUGUACUUCACCCUGAAGAAAGUCUGUGACAUAAGUGAAUCCCUGUCAGCAUCGUUGUUGGCUAUCAGGUGUUGUCUGACAGGAGAAACAGCUAAAAGCUUCGUCAUUUAAUAUCUUCCUAAAUGUGUGAGAAUCAUCUGCCUAAUUCCAGAGAUGACUGAUAGGAAGAAACCUGGCUUUAACUCCUAUACUCUUAACUUCAGUGUAAUUUCCUUGCGGCCCUCAGACAGUUCUGUCUUCUCACAUAGUGCUCCUACAAGUUACCUUCUCUCUUUCAAGUCAACUAAAAAUAGCUGAGGCAUGAGAGAAAUAGUAAUAAGCAAACAAACAAACUGGCAGAAGUUGGCAAAAGUGAUGAAAACACAAGGCUCCAUUUCCUCUUUCAUUAAAAGAUACGCACUGAAUGUAUCUCCACUAUCCAGCAACUGUGGAGAGAGAUGACUGUGGAACUGUUGUCAGUGAGAGAGGAAUCCAGUCCCAGCACCUCCAUUCCAUAUUUUAGUGUCACGUAGAGCAAUAGUGAAAUAAAUGAAAGAUACGCAAGUAGAAAAGCCUGCAAGGGUAAAACCAGGGUGAAUAUGUUGUAUUAUUGUUGGGGACGGGGAGGAGAAUCAUUGAAGCUAAUGGAAGUAACCACCACACUUCAUUUGAGUUAACAGUCAGGGAAGAUCUCUGAUGAGGCACUACGGGUUUCUAAGACAAGGCGAAAGUACACCCUAAAUCUUGAAUAAUGUGGUACUGAGAUGGUACUGCUGGUUACUGUGUUCUGUAAGGAUGUAUUUGUGUGUAUGCAUGUACAAGAGAACAAGGCAGUUGAAACAUUAAACACAGAAGCUAAAAGGAGAGUAGCUAGACAUAAACGCUUAAAGGCAGAGCUUAUCAGAGAUACUGGAUGAAAAAGAUGUGGUACUAUAAGCAAAGAUACCAUCUUUGGUGGUUUGAUUACAUUUGUGGUAAGAAAAACAGGACUUCUCAUGUUCUUUGUAGAUAGGUAGGGCUGCCUGCAGGAAAUGCCUGAUUCUAUUGAUGGCAUAGCUUCCUAACCUGAACAAAAUCUGUGGCCAUUUGUGUCAAAGGAAGGAACAUUACAGGUAGUGAAACAGGCAAAAGGAGGACUGUAGGCAAACCUAUGCUGUCCGGAGAAAGCGAAGCAUAUUGCAGUGAGUUUAAUUUCAUUGUAAUUAAUUAAAUUCACUAUUUUGUAAUGAACCAAAAGUGACAUGUUCAGAAAUUAUUGCAAGUGCACAAUGCUUUCAGAUAGCAACACAACACUCGCAAUUUUUCAGUAAAGGAAACUCUUCUGAAGCUUAAGCCAACCCUCCAAAAUGAGCUUGAGAAGAUGCCAGUGCUUUGCAGGACAAGAGGUUCAGGACUGGUGAGCUCAGAGAUGUGAGCUCCAGAGCAGUGUCCUGUGAGUACUGCCUCUGCACUCACAGUGCAGAUACUUAGGCCUUGUCCUUACCUGAGCCCUAAUUAGGUGCCAAAGGUCCCAUCCUCUCCAUCCUCUGAAACAAUCGAUUAAACUGGAUUUUACAUACCCAGUGGUGCACAAAAUAGCAGUGGGCCUAUUUUGCUGGUUUCGACCCUUCCUGGACGAGUUCUUUGAUGAAGCCCUCAGAUGAGGUGAAAACUGUCUGGACACGUGACAGCUGGCAUGACCUCUGCAGUAACCUGAAGGGAACACGUUAUACUGCUCAUGUAGCACCAUGCAGCACACGCUGCCUUCCUGGGUAGGCCCUCAUUUGGAUCUGUAGUGAUAAAACCAAAGAGCCUUUCCAUAGCUGAAACCGAAUUGCAAGACUGUUCUGACUGGAAGAUAUCCUGAUCCUUCAGAACCUAGGCACAGAAGAAAAUCUGUAGGAUGCCAAACACAGAGUCACAAUUGGAUUUCUUUCAUAUUUUCACUCUACCUACAUAGCUGUUCUGUAGGUAUUUGUUUUCAUUCACUUGGAUAAGAGUCAUCUGCUUAGACCUAGCUGUCAAAGUGUCAGGCAUCUAGGAUAACUCAGUUUCCCAGGCUUCCUUUACAGUUAUGGAGGUAGACAUUGGCUUGCUACAUGAGCCAGCAGUGUGCUCUUGCAGCUUGAAAGGCUAACAGCAUCCUGAGCAACAUCAAAAGGGAGAUAGUCAGCAGGGCAAGGAAGGUGAUUGUUCCCCCCUACUCUGCCCUUGUAAGACCCCAUCUAGAGUACUGCCCCCAGCACAAGAAAGAUGUGAAGCUGUUGGAGUGGAUCCAGAGGAAGGCCAUGGAGAUGAUCAGAGGGCUGAAGCACCGCUCCUAUGAAGAAAGGCUGAGGGAUCUGGACUUGUACAGCCCAGAGAAGACUUCGGGGAGACCUCAUUGCAGAGUUGCAAUAUGUGAGAGGGACUUAUAAACAGGAGGGAGACCCAGCUUUCACCUGGGUAGAUAGUGAUAGAACAGAGGGGAAUGACUUUAAACUAAAACAAGAGAUUUGCAUUUAAUAUUAGGAGGAAAUUUUUCACUCAGAGGGUGUUGAGGCACUGGCACAGGCUGCGCAGAGAAGUUGUAGAUGUUCCAUCUCUGGAGGCAUUCGAGGCCAGGUUGGACGGGGCUCUGGACAGCCUCAUCUUGCAGGUGGCAGCCCUGCCCAUGGCAAGGGGGUUGGAACUAGGCAGUCUUUAAGGUCCCUUCCAACUGAAGCCAUUCUGUGCUUCCAUGACUCUAUGAUUCUGUGAUACUGUGUUCACUUCCAGAAAAAAAAGUCACUACAUUCUAGCAGAUAAAUCCAAGUUAGGUGUCUCUGAAAAAUAAUACAGUCCAUAUUUCUUCUUCCAUUGACUGCAGUGGGAGCUUAGACAGCCAGUCUGUCUAAACACACUCCCGUGGGACAGUAGAAAUCAAGUGACAAAAAUUGCAGUUCUGAUGUAUUGAGACUUGGUGCACUGUACCUGAAGGGCGCUUGUGGUAUCAUAGGCAUAACUUUUCUUUGCCCUUCUGCCACCUUUUGCUUUUGCAUUUGCAUCUGUGUUGCCACUGUCAGCGUGGAGCGUCAUUAGUUUGGAUGCUGUUUGUGUAACCUUCCUUGGGUGUGUCAGAAAAGAUGUUGACAAAGGGAGCAAGACUAUGGAACCAAAACAUCUUACUAAGAACUGUCUGCGGAAAGAUACCCACUGGACAAGUCACUGUGGUGUCUCAUCUGGCAAGCAAACCUUCUGUGGCUUCUUUUCAUGAAGGAACACUACUUGUCAUUCAGUAAUCCUCCAUCACAAAAAAUAAAACUGAGAGCUCAUGUCAGAAAGGCAUGGCUUACUCAGGGGGUUAGAGUUGAGCAACACAGUUGUCUGAAAGAGGAGUAGUAGGAAACCAGAGCAUUUUGGUCUGUCUGUCAGUCUGUAAUGCAAGGUUGUAUUAUUGUUCCUCCAGCAUAAUGUAUAAGGAUGAUUUGUAACCAGGGAGAAUCUAGGGUAAAUAGCUCUUGCUAGAGCACUUUGCCUUCAGAUAUCUUAAGAGGUAAUCUGUGGCGGGUAUGCUUGCUGUAAAUCAGAGGCUAUGUCUUUGCAUUUGGAAGUCACUAUUAUUAUGUUGAAGGGUGUGUACUUACAUAGUUCAAGUACGGCAUUUGGAAAGAAGUAAUUUCACCUCAGAGUGGAAGUUUCCCUGGGGCACAAAUCCUCAACAGUGAAAUUCUGUACGUGUACUUUGACAUACGCAUGCCAGUGGGCAUGUGCCAAAUUAUGCCUUUGAAGCCAUGGAAGCCUGGCUGUGGGAACCUAGAACCUCGAAGAGUCUCUCAAGAGAGAGGAAACAGAGCCAGCUGGACUCAUUUUCUAUAGACAGAAAUUUAAUUGCUAGCUAGUAGCUACUACAUCAGAAAAGCAAUCAGUUCAGGGGCCUGGAACAUGCUGGCGUGAAGCUCUUGUUGGAGGAGUCAGGUGGCAGCCUCACUGUGACCCAUCCGGAUCCCACUCUUUGCACUUUGUUUUUAUCUCCAAUAUUUACUGUCAUGGUAAAGUGUGAUCACAGUUCUAAGAACCAACACAUAGCUGUUAUUAGCCAGCACCUAAGAACAAACUGCAAAUACUCUGCUGUUGAGUGCAGGCCGGCUGAGCAAAGAACAACUUGCCUAAAGAUAAUGUCUAUCAGUUCAGCUUACAUACAGACAAGAAAUUAAAUCUUUGUAGUAAAAUUAAAGUACAGCUUCUUGUGCAAUAAGUGGCUUCUUUUCCCUGACCAGCGGUGGCUGGGCUCUGUCUUCCUCAUUCUCUGGGGCCUUGCAGCCCCUGGGAGGCUGUCUCCUCUUUGUGGUAACAGAUACCUGUCCUCUCCAUCAGCUCUCUUUUUUCACUUCAUCCUUCUCACAAAUCCAACAUCUUCUUUAACUCAGAGAAACCAUACAUGUGUUAUUUUGUCUGCCCACCGAAAGAAAUUAAAAAAUUGGACUAAAACAUUGCCCUAAAAACAGGAAUUGUGUAUAGAGUGUAAUAAUAGCUUGAUGUUACGGUACUAUUAAGAUAAUGUUUCUGUAGCAAAGUCAUUACUUUAUAAAAAUAGCACUUAUGACAGUAAUAAAAAGUCCUACUGAGGGAAAUUAACCUAUGAAAGGGGACUCACGAGGGGCUGGAUUAUACCUUUAUCACUACUCUGAGGUCAGAGCUAAUUGGCAUACAGCAAAGCUUAUGAACUCAGAGUUGAUUGCUGCCUUCUGCUUUUCUCUGCUGACAGAUGAGCACACCGCUCCCUCUAUUACUCCUGUGAUUUAUUUUUACUUGUAGGCAGAUAAGAUCAGCGCAUCGUAAUGUUGGACUCUGUACCAACAUGGAGCAAGAGCACCUCCACUACAUGGCUUACCAUCUGGUCUGAAAAUGGAGGUGGGUGUGAAUAAAGGAAACAUUUCUUCCUCUCCUUUUACAUGGGGAACAAAAGUUCUGAUCCACAGAGAUACGUAGGUGCUUUGCUGAUUUGGACCUAAUGGGUCAGACUCACAAUCAUUUUAAUGUAUCUUCAGGCAACAACUGAGCUGCUGCAUACUGCACAUCCUCUUACUGCACAGUGCAGACAAGGCAACCAGACCUCUUUCAACACAGGCUAAACUAGCACUGCUGUUCUAUGCCCAACAUUUUUUUCCCUCCCAGAAUAACAGCUCCUGCAGAGAGACCUACACUGGGGAACUGGUUAAGGUUAAACACAAUCCAGCAAAAAAAGCAAAACCAAAAAGACCUUCCACAUUUUAAACCCGAUUAUUUCUCCUAUCAGGAAUGCAAUCUCAUGACAGCAAAGCUGGUUGUACUGGCUUAAUUUGCUGGUAUAUCUUGGAUUUGGAUCACAUCAGCCUGUGUGUGCCCUGGGUAAGAGUGCACACCAGGACAGUCACUGCCGUUCAACUGAGACACAAUGGCUUGUUAAAUUGUCAUAAACUGAUCAUAAGUCUGAGUCCCAAAUGGCUUACCUGAGGUCACCCAGCAGUUUGAGACACACCCAGCGACUGAACAACAUCUCCGGAGUCCUCCAGCCUAGCGUCAAAUACAAUGGCACUUUUCCUCUCUAAUUGCAACCAAUUGUCACUGUCUUCUGGUGGGUAUAAGCAGGAGAAAACGGAUAUGGGAAUGAGCUGAGACUGUCCAGUCAGCCCUUCCAGCUUCAGCUGAAGCAUUCUACCAGGGCUUCAUCAGGAAGACUGUGUGGUUCUACCAGGUUCUGCUUCUCCAAAGGCAGCGAGCAAUUAGAUGGCGUUGGUUAACUCAGCAAAAAGUUCUUGUGAUAGGGAUAGGUACUGCUGCCAGACAACAUAUCUCAAUGAGAGUGGUUAUCAGCUUCAGAAAUGAGAAGUGCUUUUUACCCUGGAGAAGUUUGUUCAAUUCCUUCCUUCCUGUUGCAUUGGAGUGGCUAAGUGGUUAGUGCUAUGCAGGGCAUGGUUUACCAGCAUUCUAUAAAUGACCUGGGAGAAGUAAAAAUGAAGUAGCAGGGCAAAGGGAUGCUGUGCUGGAGGAAUGCUGCUUUCCACAAGCCAUGUAAACUCUAAUUAACAGAUAAAGGGUUCUAUUAUUUUCUUGUGUUUAACUCCACCCCCAUCUUCUUUUCUCUUUAACCAUAUGCCUUCUCACCCUCCAGUUUAAAGUCGUGUGUAUACAUGGCCUGAUGAAAGCCUACACAAAUCAAUGCCAACACUCCCAUUGACUUCAGUGGGCUUUGUAAAAAAGCAGAGAGAGAAGAGAAUAGGUGAUUAUUUUUCCUUUCUGAAUGACAAGUCCCUCCUAAAUAAAACAAUCCAUAUAGUAGUCAUAACUGCUUUUUGCAGUGCAUGGGCAUAGCUACUCCAACCCUCUAAACAGUUAGCAGCAGUUGGUCUCUUUAAUGCUUAGAAAAUUAUUUUAAAUAGACUUCACAUCUACAAAACAGGAUUUUUUUUUAGAGUGUAAGUACCUAGGGUUUGAUCCCAGCAGUUGUUACCAGCAUAUCUGCAGAGACCUCAAAAAGAACAGUCAAUUUGCACAUGCAGAAGGACUGCCUCAGAGCAGCAGUUGCUGCGUGGUCAAAAUCACUUUGAUAUCCACGAGUAGUCCCCUCAAAGCCAUAAAUGCGGGGUCAUGCUGCUGUUGAUGUUCAGCCAGCUAUCUAGGCGUGCUCUCAGUUAACGACUCGCCUGGCACUUCUGUACCACAUCCCUCAGACAAGAGUGUGCCAGCUCCCCACUCAGCGGCCGGGGAACUGAGCCGUGUGUUCUCAGAGGUACUGAGUAAUCACCCCGCCAAAUGGAGUACCGUGAGUCGGGGAGGCCUAGGUGGCUUCACAACAUCAUAUACAAAUAGAACGUCUGCGUGCAACAAGCCACCGAGUUCAAAUCUCAGUCUUGCCUGCAAACUUAUGCUGACUAUAACACCUUCAUCUAUCUUCCCUACCCUACGACAGGGCAUGAAAGGAUUCCUCCACCUCUUCCUCUCGAUGCAUUGAAGUGUAAAAAUCCCAAGGGAAUUUAAAAAGUUCUUUUCUUUUCCAUCAUUUCUGCCUCCACAGUCUGCCUGCUUAACAAAAGCCUAAUCCAUCGCUUAGACAUGGAAAAGAAAUCAGUUGUUAAUUUAGUGUGGUAGUGUGCUCUGGGUAUCCAAACAUCUUCACUCCAAAAAGCUGAUUACUCUUUUUUAAC
ensembl:lncRNA